AAACGCAGCAGAGCUGGCUGCUGGGGCCCUCCGGGGAGCAGAAGAAGAAGAAGUAUGUGGAUCUGGGAUGCAUCAUUGUCAGCCGUAAGAUCUUUGUGUGGACAGUCGGGACGCUCCUGGUCUCCGCCUUUCUGGCGGGCUUCAUCACCCUCAUCGUCAAGACAGUGCCGCGUCACCACCGCGGCCGCCCUCCCCCCGACAACUACACACUGGCGCUCCACAAGUCUCUAAUGUUCUUCAACGCCCAGCGAUGUACGUUUUCUUUAUGCCCUUUAUUCUUUUUAUUUAUCUUUCUUGUUUCUAAAUUCUACAUUUGGGUUUGUUGUUUCUAAAAUUCUAAAUCUGGGUUUGUUGUUUCUAUAUUCUAAAUUUGGGUGUUAAAGUAAGUGUCAGAUUUAGAUAUAUAUAUAUAUAUAUAUAUAUAUAUAGUAUCUGGAUAAUUGAUUUGAUUUGAUUAAUUGCAUUCUUCUUGAUAUCUCGAUCAUCAUUUUUUUCAUUUUUCAUUAACUAAUAAUAAUAAUAAUAAUACUCUGAUAUGAUAUGAUAUCACAGCGGGAAAACUCCCAAAACAUAACAAUGUGUCGUGGAGGGGUAACUCAUGUCUUAAGGAUGGCAAUGAUGCAUCCACCACUUUUAAAGAUCUUGCGGGUGGUUUUUAUGACGCCGGAGAUGCCAUCAAGUUC
rnacentral:lncRNA from 1 species